rnacentral:rRNA from 1 species
UACGGGGGAGCAAGCGUUGUUCGGAUUUACUGGGCGUAAAGGGCGCGUAGGCGGCGCAACAAGUCAGCUGUGAAAUCUCCGGGCUUAACCCGGAGCGGCCAGCUGAUACUGUCGUGCUAGAGUGCGGAAGGGGCUACUGGAAUUCUCGGUGUAGCGGUGAAAUGCGUAGAUAUCGAGAGGAACACCUGUGGCGAAGGCGGGUAGCUGGGCCGACACUGACGCUGAGGCGCGAAAGCUAGGGGAGCGAACGGG